ACAAUUUACUUUUCCUCUUUAUCAGAUAUACAUACAAAAGAGGCAAACAACGAUCCUUUCCCCUCUUUUCGACAAACAUAACACAAAAAUUGUCACUCUUCUUCUUUUUGACCUAAUUUUUAAUCCAUUUGUGGAGCAGAUGAAGUAAAAAACAGAGUAGAUUGAUAGAAGAAAGAAGAUGUGGAGCUUGCAAGUCUCAACACCACAAGAAGCUAUGCAACCGUUGAAUCGUCCAUCUUCUAGCAAAAAUAAUCAAGUUGGAGAAGAUAACCAAGGGGAUGAUGAAAGAAGUGAUGAAGACCUUGCUUGAUCUAAUUGAUUGAAAGAUGUAGAAAUCGAUUGUUUUAUCUCGACUAUUUUGCUUCUUGACACUUUGAAAGUUUUGUUAAGCUACAAUAUUUUGUUUUAAUUUCUACUAGUAUGGAACUUGUGCAAACUAUUAAAAACAUGUGUUUUGGUAUAUAUAUUUUACAUUUACGGAUAGUGUGAUGACUACGAUAUUUUGAAAUAUAUAUGUGAAUCGGCUAUA